CCGGAAUAAAUGGGAUGCCCAGUGCUUAAGAGAAAAUAAUACCAGUCUAUAUGCAAGGGGAAAGGCAAGAUCCUGAAAACCUAAAAGGACUCAGAUGAAUGUUGAAGAAUGGGGAAAAAAACUUAGGGGAAAGCCACUCUCUUCCACUGGCCUGCUGACUACAGAGGGAGCCCAGGGUGACCACCUGGCUGGUUUAACUGCUCAUCAAUGAAUCACAAUGCUGCACGGAACUAGUAACUUUCCUUAAAGGACCCCCUCUAAAAUCUGUUCAGGUUUCAGAAACUCAGUGACCAUACUUUGAUGACAAGCCAGAUGGCAGCUGUUCCCCAAGCCUGGUGCCAAGAAAGAUGAUUGGAGCUGCAAUUUACCUUCCGUGGUGAAGCUCAAUGCUGGAGCAUACCACAGCUGCGGAUUUGGCUGCUGCCAGUAGGUGUGUGCACAGUUGGUUUCCUCCCAAUUUGGAUUCAUCAGGGACCAGUGGUCUGGCUUGGAAAACUACUUCUUAGUGUUUCAGUAUGUUCACAAAUUUCCUUAAGAGAAGGUGUGUGAAGGUGAUGAGGACAGAUCCUUUUGGAGCUGCUCAGCGCUGGGGAAGGCAUGCAGACAGCAGAAAAGCCAUUUGCUGGGAUAACAGCUGUUCCAGAUGUGUGAAAAGCCCAACAUGCAUAGAAAAAUAUGAAGCAGAACUUUGGCAGUGGACAGUUACAAGAGGAGAGUAUGUUGUUGAAGUAAAAUAUAACUUGUUUCUACUGGAAUUACUUAAUUGAAGGCACAAUUAUACAUUUGAGGGAGGGAAGAUCAGUGGGCUGAGGGAUAAUACACUGAGAGACAAGCUGAAACUCUGAGAUUGAGAAUGUUUUAUUAUGUCCCUGUCUGGUUUUAAGGACAAAUCCCUAUGACCUCCUUCCCUUCUUGGACUGAAAGAUUUUAGGAGCAAAAAACUUAGUUGUCCAGCACCUAAAAAAAUGGGCUCAUGGUGCGGGAUGGGGGCUCUCAUAAAUCUAAGCUUGUAGUGCUGCCUAGCAAGAAACUCCUGUAAUAAUGCAAUUUUCUCCUUUCUUCACACAUGAUUACUUAGAGACAAGAGGAUAGUGAGGAGGUAAGUCUUCCUCCCUGCUGCCCUGUGGGAGCAGCACAGCAGAUCUUUGCCAGACUGAUAGGAUGCUGAGGGGAAGAAAAUGGGCUGAACUAGGGAAGAGGAGAGUCCUGUUGGGAGCCAUCUCAUCAGAGACUGUUGACUGGGACUGUGAUGCUCCCUGUUUUCCAUCUCACACGGAGAGUGAGGUUGAGGUCUUGCCUUUUCAAUUUGCUGAUACAUAACAAUACUUUGCAAAGUAAAAUACCACCUACAACAUAAAGAAGAAGCGGGUCUAGAAAGAGCAAAACUUUCAUGUUCAACACUUUCAACACUUUCAACACUCACUUUCUUCUGGACCUCUUCUUUUGGGAUCUUUGGAUUUUGGAGGUAUAAUUGGUAUUUUUUGGUGCACUCUGGGAAGGACAAGGAAUAUUUCUUUUCAGCCAUUUUCUUACAGUUUCCCCCAGUUUCACAUGCAUAAAUACAAAUGCUAAAGGGAGAUCAGUUCAAGACUUUACAUUCCUCUAUAAGCAAGUUACCCACAUACAGUUUUAUCAAUGGUAUUUUAGCACCAAUAAUUUAUAUGGACACACACACCAAAUGCAGGUGGCAGCCAAUCAGAAUAACAGCAAACUGAAGUCCCAUUUGCAAGAUAAAGAUAAAGAAUUCUACUAAGAAUUUGGGAAAGGUUUCAGGGAGAGAAUACAAGAGAGUGUAGCUUUUCUAAAGGCAUUUUUAGUUGUCAUUAAACACAGUCAGGGUUUCCAAAGCUAUAAUACAUGUUAACACAUUCCAAAACACUUCUAAUAGAAUAUUUUUUCAGUACUUCAGUACAGCAAAUGAUGCAAAGCCAAAAUUCCCCAGACAAUGCACAGAACAUUAGAGAAUUAGUUUAACAUUCUUACAACCCUGCAAUUUUAUUUAAACAAAUUCUUCCCUACCCAAUUCCCUGCAGAGAAGUAUUGUACCCUUUUGUUGAUUGUAGUGGACAUAUUGCAGAUCUCCGAUUACCUUCCCAAAGGACCACCCACAACAAGAAGUUUUUUGUGUUGCAAGCACAGCUUAGUUCAUUCCCUCCUGGUCACCUUUUUUUUCUUUUCUUCUUGUUUUUUCUUUUUUUCCCCCUCAGUUUUAAUUUUCUUAACAUUCUUAUAGGCUGUGGAUGAACUGACAGACUAGCCUGCCAUCUGUUCUUUCAUGACAUGGUGCAACCUAAUCAAUUUUCCCCAAACCACUUUGGAGUAAAUAACAUGUCUACAAUAAUAAUAAUUAGUCAGUUAAAAAGAAAACAGCAUCAUGCAACUCCUGGUGGGAAUUAGGUAGAUUUCAGAACACAGCAUUUUAUUAACUGAGAUUUUCAGACCAAGGGAAGAUAACUUUGGAAGGAAAAAAAAUCACCUUCAGUAAUUUCUUCUGAAACUUGAGUAUAAGACAGUAUCCCUAGACUUUGGACAUCAGAUUCAAGUAAAUGUGCCACUUAUGAGUUUCUAAGAUUUUGCUGUUAAUAUAUGUGUUAGAAUAAGCCUAAGCAUUUGUAUUAGUAUAGAAACCCUAUUAAAAUCAUAAGGAGUAUUUUAAAAAAUCACCCAAUGACAAGCAGAUUACAUUAUUAUAGUAUUAUAUUCCUCAAACACAAGGAGAAAAUUGCAUUUACAGGAGUUUCUUGCUAAGCAGCACUAUAAGCUUAGAUUUAUGAGAGCCCAAUCCUGUAUCAUGAGGCCUGCCAUCUUCAGGGAGAGAUUUGUCUUCAGCAACCAUCACAAGUAAAAAUCUGUGGAUUACAUGACACAUGCACCCACUUGAAGAACAGGCAAAAUGCAGAAACACAAACUGCUACAGACAGAAAAUAGGUUUGCAAUAAGUGAAAGGACUUCAGAAUUUCAGGAAGACUGCAGUUAUAUAGUGGAUAUCAAGAUCCCAUUGAAGUUAAUUAUUCCUUAUGAAGUUAAUCUUAACAUCGUUUUUCACAAUGCAACUGUUUGCUAUUUUAACCCUUUGACAUUGAUUUAGACAGAAUACACUAGAAACUAUUCUACCUAAUCAAUUGAUCAACAUUUAAAAUACAUCUUAGUACUUGAGUGCUUAGCACAUUCUCAGUAUUUUCACUUUUGCAGUAUGAUGGAAGCAACAGAUAAAUCAGAAAGAUUCAAUGAUCCAGUGAGCUAAUCAGCAAAUUGCCAACUAAAAUUUCAGUCGAGGAGUCAGUGCAAUCUCAGUGAAGAGAUCACACUGAUGGAUCAGAAGGAAGAAUUCACUCUUUACUGUCUUUACAUUGAAUAUUAAAGUAUUGAUAUUGUGUGUAUUCUAUGGGCUGUGUUGAAAGACGACAAUAAUUUUGUAGCUGUGCUACCAAAUGAUAUUUCUGCCAUGUUUUUAAGUAUUAAGAACAUGGCAAUACAUAAAAUAACUCCAAGCUGACAAGUGCUGUCCCAGAUCUUUUCUAAAUGGUCAAAACUUCUCAUCCUUGAACCAGGUGCCUUUAACCUUCUCCUGGAAAGCCAAUGCAAUUUUACCAGUAAGUUAGAAAACAACAUAUCAAUGUAAAUCUGGACAUUUUUCCCAAAACUGCCUGAUCAGCCUGAGACAAUGUAGACUAUCUCCUGUGAAAUAAGAACCAAGAAGAAUUGUAUAAAACAUCUUAGAGGCUUUGACAUAUAUAAAUAUCAGACCACCUACCAUAGCAUAUCAUAAUCUAAGUAACUCUAAGUGAGAAUACUGAGCACAUUGGAUAUAUGUGUUUGCUCUCAUGCUGCCUCAUCUACCAAAGAAAGUAUCCAUAAAAUUCCAUGGCAGCAAGGAAUCUCACACUUUAUGAUGCAGUCCUUCACAGGCUAGAUUUUGUCUGUUCUUGCACACAGAUGGUGAGGUGUGAGGCAGACUCGAGCUCACACACAUGUGGCCUUGUUGCGGCUUCUCAGAAGAUAAACAAUUAGGUGGGAUCAGAGAGCGAGAGAGUGAAGAGAAGUCUCUGCCAUGACGCAGGCCAGUGAAGAUAAAGCAAUGAACCACGGAUGAUCUUCACUGGUCCGUCCAUGACUGCUCUGCUGUGAUUUCUGUGACAAGUAUGUACCAACAUAUUUGCCUGUUUAGGUUCUCGUACCACUCCUCCUCCUGAAGAAGCCAAAUGCUUCUGGCAUCCUGACAAUUAUGUUUCACUUCCAAUUUUCUAGGUCCUUCAAAAGAGCAUUCACCUUUCUGUUGCAGCUGCUGACCUCUUGCUUCUGCCUGUUUCUCCAUGUUUUACCAUCUACUUCAGAAAGGGGCUAGCAAUUAUGUGCCUGAUGUUUCCCUAACCUUGACCACCUUGAAAUGUGAUUUUGUGAUUUUUGUUGAAAUAUAGGACAUGGAUCCCUUGCAGGCUUUUACAAACAUGAGAGUUCCCAUGUGUCGUUGACACUGAUGAAUUGCUAGAUCACUACAGAACAACUUGGAAAUGGCAACGAAGCUGGCUCCACUGCAGCUAACUUGAGCUCCUGAGAGGGACCAGAGGGGUUUUUUGAUUCUUUUUAUUAUGUGAUAUCAAUUAAGCAUUUAACAAGUUACAAUAAAAAGCAACUUUCCAAUGGAAUUUUUAAUGCAAUGAAAACAAAUUACCUUCAAGAUGGUUAUCAUUUGGAAUCUUGAAGAGAAUGAAAAUAAGGCAAAUGCCAACACAUAUUCAUCCAGAUUGCCCAUAACAACUUGCCAGGCAUCCCUGUUUCAAAUCAAGUAAAUCUGUGCAGCUUCUCUUUGACAGCAACACAAAAUCCCUUGUGAAAUGCAUUGAAUGGCACAGCUGAGGCAGAAUGUUAGCAGAAGAUACUGCGCCAAACAGCUUUUGUUUUGAAGUGGGUACUUCUGUUAUGCAAUCCUCUUAGAAUUUGCUUCUUUCAAAGAAUGAAAGACAAAAAAAAAAUAGCCUCAGCAAACAAAAACCACAAAUCCCAUACAUUUCUUAACUUGGUUGAUGUUUCUCCACUUGGACACAGUAUAUUCGCAGCAAUUCCAAAAUUCUGGCAUUGUCACAUACUAUAUUUGUGUCACUCAGGACAAAAAAGACACAUAAAGGACCAAACAGUGCAUGAUGGCUGGGAUGAAGGUGUUUAGUGGAAGAGUGAGGCUUCAACUCUCUCAACAAGAAACAUAAACAGAAAAUAGAAGUGGAAUUCACUAAUAUCAACAAUGUGCUAAAUAAGCCCAUGAGCAACUUUAACAACUCACUUUAAUUCUGAGAUUUUCUGUAGUCACAAGGAAGAUGAGACUAUGGACAGAACUUUCUUAAUAUGGAAACAUUAAUUUAUAAACUUAAGAUCUUGUCCAUGUAAUUUUGCAUAUAUCCAAAAUAAGGAAACCUAAACUUAAUAUUGAAAACUUCUGAGCCCUUCAUCAAAGACUCACUUUAUCAACAGGUAUGAGGGAGAGUGCAGGUGGUUAACUCCCCGUACCAUUUCUCACAAAAAAGCACUCUCAAAUCCACAAAUGCACUCUCAGGCUGUGGGGAUGAAUACCAUAUUUUGCCCUUUCCCUGCUUCUUUGCCGUAGUGAGAAGUGGGGAAGGAGGCACAGAGUGGAGACAAGACGAGGUGUGGACUGUGUUUCCUGUCCGUGAGGCACACCCAGCCAAACAGAUCAUGUGUGAAGGCAAAGAAUUGCUCUGAAGAGUGGUCUGGGCUCUGCAGGCCACCUGUUCUGGAGGGAGAAGCUGUCCCUCACUGAGCUCUCCCACAUUUGUACAACAUCUGACACUACACUUUUGCAAGCUCACUCUACACAUGGUUUCUCACCAGUGUACACAAUGUUACAGGCACCAUUCCUCCUCCCCCAAACAAGAGGAUCCUUUCAUUUCACUUAGGCACAUUGUCACGGCUGCAGACUCUCACAGCUUAUUUAUGGUGUGAUGUGAAUAUGCACAGCACUUCUAGAGAUGCGUUGCUGUCUUUGAAGUACAGGCAGAGAAUUAUCAUCUUUGUCGUCUCCCAUGACCAAUGCUGCCUCCACACUGCUCAUUUUUUUGGAGAUUACUUAUUGUGUGCCAAAUAUGCCACAGAGCAAGAAUAUGCUUGGUGCUUCCCCAAGACAUGUUAGCAACAUUAGUAUCUUUCAUCUUCUCUGACCUUUUCCCUGAUGUUCUCAGAAGCUCAGAAAGUCUCAUGACAAUAUGGAAAAAAACCCUCCCAUGCUCCCAUGCACAUAUGUGGGCUUUCUCUUCUGUUGCACUCAAGUUCAGUUAGAUGUUCUUCAGCCUUUGAUCUUCUUUAAUCAGAAGGAAGGAGGCUGAGGAAGGAGAAUAUGAGCUUUCUUUCAUGCUUGUUUUAAUUCUUAGGUCCAAUAAAGAGGACAGAAUGAGGAUGGUCAGGGAAUUAAAGGGAAUCAAAUAAAUGACUGAGAGGAGUCUGCACCCUGCCAGCUAUCCUGAGCUUUGCCCCUCACUCACGCAGCUAAGCUUUGGGGAGGGAGGGAUUCUCUGUUAACAGGGGUUAGUGUCUUUACUCCCCCACCCCCUUCUCUACCACCUCAUGCUCAUCUUUAUUAGCUUUUUCACACUACACAGUCCUCUCAUCGAUUACAAGGGCCAGCACAAAGCAGCCUAAUGAUGGGUCAGUCUUAAUGAGAAAAGCGGCUGCUCUUGAAGUGGUGUGGCUUCGUCCUGCACCCUGCAGAGUCCUGGCACGCAGAGCUUUGCCUCCUUUUAGAGAGCAGAGCCAUGGAAAAUCAACAGUGAGCAGCCUGGUGCCUCUGAACAGAAAGGGCCAUGUGCAUGGCUAUUUAGUGCUGUAAAAGAGAGAGCAUUUGCACAAACGGGAGUGAACAUAAGGAGGCCUUCAGAGAAGAAUGGGGCCUUGGCAAAUUUAUAGACUCCCCUGAAAGAAAGUGAUUACAGAUCAUUAUCCAAUUGAGGCAGAUUGAUGGGUUAGGGUCAAAGUAAUACUGCAGAGCUCACUGGAGGGACAAUGACUGCUUGUCAGUUCUGUCCAGGAAAAGAAAGAGAAGGGAAACUACCACACAGAGAGGAAAGGCUUAAGCUUUUCCAGCCCCUAUCUGAAAAAUAGUUUCUUAUCUUGAACAUGCAUCCUUUAAAAAAAACCACAAAACAAAAAUCAAGGAAAAAACAAACCCCGAAACUGCAGGACCAGUAUCACUGACUUAAAACUGCGCAUCCAGAAUUGCAAAGUAUUUGUGUGAAUAGUGUGCGAACAGCACUCACCCAAAGCCUUGUGACCAGUACUCUCAGAAAUCACAAUGAGUACUAGCACUAGUAAGGGAUAAAUUGCAUCUGUUUCAUUUAUAUUAAAAAAACCAAGGAGAUCUUCUGAAAUAAAUGUGUAUAUUUUUUUUAAAUUUGGUGAAAGAAGGACAUUUUGUUAACAGCUAUGGUUGAACAGAUUUGAAACUCUGUAACAUCUGGUCAGACAAAACUCGGCAACACUGACAUUGAAUAAAACAAG